AAGUGCUAUACCGUUGUUUACUAGACAUAGGUUUGUGCUUUUGACUUACUGCAAAGAACUAAGGAUCCUUCAAUCUGUUGGUAAACACGUUUUUACCAAGCAUGUGAAUCAUGCUUAACUGAUUCACAAGUUUGCUAUUUAAGAAUUCUGGUCUAACAGUUCACAAUUGGUUUCUCCUUGGUCUUUACUGGAGAUUAAGGUUUUAAAAGAGUGCAAAAUUCUGCUAACUGUAACUAAGACUGAUGGAAAUAAGGGAUUCAAAUCUAUAUGUGGAAAAGUAGGAGAUAUGUAAGAAAAGUAAGGAAAGGGAGUGCAUCUUGUUGAAGGUAAAAGAAGGUAAUUUUGUCCUAAAUGAGAUGGUUGUUUGGAAAGAAAUGGCUUGGGGCAAAACCUGAAUGCAAAGGAGAAUUGUAGAGGUUUGUGACAGAAAAUCUUUGGAAAUGAAUAUUAAGUGUGGUCAGGAUGGACUAAGAUUGAAAUGAACUUUAGAAAGACACUGGUAUAGAAAGUUGGUUUUCAUUCUGUUCAAAAAGACAAAGUAUUCUUGGAGCGCCUGAAUGGCUUAAUCGGUUAAAGCCUCUGCCUUCAGCUCAGGUCAUGAUCCCAGGGAUUGAGCCCCACAU